AUGUCACCUCUCCCUGCUCACCAUCUCCACCAACCGGUUUCUCUCCUCGCCCAGGAGAGUCCCGCCUCCUCGCCACCAAGGCCGCCGCCGCCCGCCGCCUCGAGCGGCGCCGCCUCCUCCUCGAGCGCCGCGCCGCAGACCUCGCCUCCCGCGCCCUCGCCGCCCGCGCUAACAUCGACGCCACCCACGCGCGCUGCCUUGCCGUUGCCCGCGACAUCAGCUCGACCAACGGCGAGAUCAAGGACGCGUAGCAGAAGGCGGAGGAGUGGGACCGCUUCUACGAGUCCAAGAGGAAGGAGAUGGAGGAGUUCCAGCCGUCGUCUCCACAGCCUCCAUCCACCCCGGCCGCAGCCACUUCUCAACCCCACGAGCAGCCUCCUGGCCUAG
rnacentral:rRNA from 1 species